CGCAUCUGUGCAUGCAGCAUAUCAAUAAGCGGAGGAAAAGAAACUAACAAGGAUUCCCUUAGUAACGGCGAGUGAAGCGGGGAGAGCUCAAAUUUGAAAUCUUCAAGGUUUUACCUUGACGAAUUGUAGUUUAAAGAAGUGUUUUCUGCUGAAGUUUUGGUAAAAGUUCUUUGGAAUAGGACAUCAUAGAGGGUGAGAAUCCCGUAUUUGACCAUUAUUUUCAGCUUUGUGAUACACUUUCAAAGAGUCGGAUUGUUUGGGAAUGCAGUCCAAAAUGGGUGGUAAAUUUCAUCUAAAGCUAAAUAUUGGCGAGAGACCGAUAGCGAACAAGUACCGUGAGGGAAAGAUGAAAAGAACUUUGAAAAGAGAGUUAAACAGUACGUGAAAUUGUCAAAAGGGAAGCGUUUGACACCAGUGUUGUUUUCUCGAAAAUCAAUUAAAAAUGGCUCGAUUUUGUAUUGUUGAGACCUUAAAAGCUCACUGUACAUUUUUCGUGUCUUUUUUAAUGCACUUUUCGUUUAACAAGUCAACAUCAGUUUCUUUUGUUGUAAAAGGGCCAUUGGAAGGUGGCUUUCUUUUCGGAGAAAGUGUUUAUAGCCUUUGGCCUCUGCAAUCGAGAGACUGAGGUCUGCAGCGUAGACUCUUCGGGGUUAGAUACAUUUGUGCUAAGUUAUAGCUUUUUAUAGACAACUUGUUGACUAUAAUUAGUCUUGUAGCUUACUCGCUUAUGCUAUUUUACCUACGCUUAGGAUGUUGACGCAUGAGAUAUACGC
rnacentral:rRNA from 1 species